UUAGCCAGAAUGUUUCAUAAUCAACAGCAUUGUCAGUCUCCGAGGACGAAAAUAUUCAGGAGCCCUUAUUUCCUAUAGAAUGUGCAUGCAACUGAUCUCACUCUGCUGCUCACCUGCUGGAAGCUGUAGCCCAGGGGUGAAUCCAACUACUGCCUUGCUCUGCCUGCUGUCAGGUGACCGGAACUGCUGUUGGGGUCUGACAGCUGUUUUCUGCUAGCUAGACAACUGGGACCUCUAGUGAGCUGUGAGGUAAACACCACAUACCACAACUAUGCAAGGUCACUGCAGAUAGAGAUCCUCGAUUUAAGAAAUGGUCUGAAUCACUAACAUGGCUUCUCACUGCUCAGGCCAGCUGACUCCCACUGAUUUCAAUGAUCUAUGAAUGAAGCCUCAAGAAACCACCCAAAGUAUAUACCUGAAAUUGUAGCACCGUUAAACUCAAUGGCAUAACUCCCAUUCACCCCAAUGGGCCCAGGAUUUCAGCCAGUGAGCACUACUCUGCUCCUAUUAGAAGCGGAACUGAUCUUUGUUGGACCCUGGAGUGGUCACAUACAUGGCAUACCGUUUAUUUCAAUUCACUUUCAGUUACAAUGAAUUACAUGAUGGCACAUUGAGAGGUAACAUUAACUGUCUUUGACUGCCUCCCAUUAAAACCACAUAUAAAUUCAAGGUAACCGUCAACUUUACUGGAUUGAGUUAAACCUCUGGAAAUAAGGACUUUAAUUGAACACUGAUCAUCAGCUAAAAAUGAAGAAUCCCUUCAGAAAUCAUUUCAGACCACAAGUCACCUACCAUUGUUUAGCAGCUGCUCUUUGUCUUACUGGAGCCUAGAGAUAAAUUGCACAGAGACUGAAUCAGUUUUCUAACCCAAAAUGAGUUGGUCCUUUUGAGUCCUAUGAUCAGUUUUAUAUUGCUCAACUACCGUUAUGGUCUUUGGAAUUCUGGUACAAAUAUUUCUUUCUCAUGCUCUGUAUUUGCUUUACUGUCCACCUUAGACUAUCCUCCCUUCUUAUAUGUUGGUGCCCAGUACUGUGUUCUGUCCUCGCUCGGAUCCUCCAACUGUGACCAUACUCUUCAGAAGAAUAGCUGGAUAGCAAAAUAUUGACUCUGAAUAGAGGGAUCUCAUCUUUAAUUAGAAUAACAGUUAUUUUACCUGAAAAUAUUCAUUUGGGGCAAGUAUGACACUUGCCAAAUGUUAUUGAACAGAGGAUAAUAGGACCUUAAAUACCCCCACUGCCACCUCAUGGGUUAACCACAUCAGCACAGGUAAGACAGCAACCUCUGCAAGGCUGCUACUUGCCUUCCUGAGUAGCAGUGGGAAAUGGGUAGAGAGGCUUGACCUUCUGCCAUCCAAUGUGCCAGUAGAUUUAAGCUGGUGAGGAGGAGGAAACCAACUGUGCUGGUAAAGGGAGAGCUGAAAUUAUUUUCCUCAUGAAAUAGGAUGGAGAAAUGGACCAAACUGUGACUCUGAGUCACAAUUUGUUCCCUGGCCUGCUCCUUUAUUCCAGCUAUUGGGACAAAAAGUUUUUGAAAGUAUGUGUGAGUUUGGGAAAGUUAGAGAAUGAGCAAGAGAUUAAUAUGUCCAGCUUUUCAGUUUUGUUUAGCUUUAGGCUAUAAUGGUAACUGAUCAGGUUACAAUUAAAUGUCACCCUGGUAGUUUAUCAGAAUCAGGCUUCUGUAAAAUCAAAACAGAACAUUUCAGCAAAGGAAGUACGUAUGAUCAGCAAUCAUGUGUCAAUUCCUAACCUCUUGCUAUCAUAACUCCACCAAUCAUUCACACGGACAUUCUGUAAUCUCAUCUCCACCUCUGAGCAUUCAAGGUAUUGUUAGUCACAAGUAAUUUUUCUGAACUGAUGAGCCCAUCUCUAGUCAUAAUCCUACAUUUUUGUUCCAACUUUUACUAAGAAUAUUGUAAAUAUUAAUCUGGUGUUAGGGCAUCUCAGGGCAGAGUUCAAACAGACAUCACCCUUUGGCUCAAGUGGUCAGCCAGAAUUUAAGGCUACCCUGCUAGGGUAGUUUCUGUUAUGAGGAGAAAUCAGUAAUGUGACACAGAUAUAUUCUUGGUGCAAUCUUGUUUAUUUACAAAAAUGUACACAGGGUCCCAUUUGUCUGAACACAGUAGAAACAAAUCAUAGCAGGCAAUUUUCUUGCUCAGAAAUCCCCAGGUCUGCCAUUCGUGUGAGCUCUGUGCCCAAGAAGCAGCUCUGUUUCUUUGCUUCCUCUCACAGUCAUGAUUAAAACUUCUUCUCUAGGCUUUUCUGCUUCCAGCACACACAGGCUAAAAACAAAUAUCCUAGCCCUUGUGUUUGCAACCAGGGAAACCUCUCAGGCCACAUAGCUUAUCUCU